GGGCGCAUGGUGUAGUUGGUUAUCACAUCCGCUUAGCAUCGGUGAAUACUGUAUAAUGCGUUUGCGGGGGGUGCUGGGUUCAAUUCCCAGUGCGUCCA